rnacentral:tRNA from 1 species
GCCGAGGUGGUCGACGCGGACACGCUGGCCGCGCUGGGGGAGCGGGCGAAGGCGGCGCCGUUCGAGGCGGUCCUGGACGCC